rnacentral:rRNA from 1 species
AGCUUGCUCCUUGGGUGGCGAGUGGCGGACGGGUGAGGAAUACAUCGGAAUCUGCCUAUUUGUGGGGGAUAACGUAGGGAAACUUACGCUAAUACCGCAUACGACCUACGGGUGAAAGCCGGGGACCUUCGGGCCUGGCGCAGAUAGAUGAGCCGAUGUCGGAUUAGCUAGUUGGCGGGGUAAAGGCCCACCAAGGCGACGAUCCGUAGCUGGUCUGAGAGGAUGAUCAGCCACACUGGAACUGAGACACGGUCCAGACUCCUACGGGAGGCAGCAGUGGGGAAUAUUGGACAAUGGGCGCAAGCCUGAUCCAGCCAUGCCGCGUGGGUGAAGAAGGCCUUCGGGUUGUAAAGCCCUUUUGUUGGGAAAGAAAAGCAGUCGGUUAAUACCCGAUUGUUCUGACGGUACCCAAAGAAUAAGCACCGGCUAACUUCGUGCCAGCAGCCGCGGUAAUACGAAGGGUGCAAGCGUUACUCGGAAUUACUGGGCGUAAAGCGUGCGUAGGUGGUUUGUUAAGUCUGAUGUGAAAGCCCUGGGCUCAACCUGGGAAUUGCAUUGGAUACUGGCAGGCUAGAGUGCGGUAGAGGGUAGUGGAAUUC